UUAGCUUCACGAGACCUAUUAAGAAUAGAAUUUCUUGUAGGCUUUGUGACCAGGGGGAUUAACGCUGCUUUCCCAAGACAGGUUUAUAAGUGAUUAUGAUCUUCAGGCUUUGCCUAACCAGGUUGGCUGGCUGGUGCUGACGGGACGGAGCUGAGGCUAGAGUUAAAAUUCAUAUGUUAGACUUCCGCUGUAGCAAUUACUCUUAUACAUCUUUUGUUUUCUCAACUUAAGAUGACUUCAUGUCGAGCUUAAAUUUGAAAUUCUAGUUUUAUGCUAAUGAAUGUUGGUUGUCAGAAACAUGAAACAAAACUUGUGAUCCAAAGGGGCAUAGCCCGACUUUCUAUCCUAUUUUGGGUUUUAACGAGGUA